rnacentral:rRNA from 1 species
UGCAAAGCCUAAAGGCGCAAUGAAAGUGAAGGUCGAUCUCACCGUCGACCGAGGGAGGAUGGCUCGCGUUACGAUGCGAGCUCGCACUCCCGGGGCGUCUCGUGCUCAUUGCGAGCAGAGGCGCACCCAGAGCGUACACGUUGGGACCCGAAAGAUGGUGAACUAUGCCUGGUCAGGACGAAGUCAGGGGAAACCCUGAUGGAGGUCCGUAGCGAUUCUGACGUGCAAAUCGAUCGUCGGAACUGGGUAUAGGGGCGAAAGACUAAUCGAACCAUCUAGUAGCUGGUUCCCUCCGAAGUUUCCCUCAGGAUAGCUGGCACUCGCGUGAGCGAGUCUCAUCUGGUAAAGCGAAUGAUUAGAGGCCUUGGGGCCGAAACGACCUCAACCUAUUCUCAAACUUUAAAUGGGUGAGAUCUCUGGCUUGCUUGAA